rnacentral:misc_RNA from 1 species
GAACGCAUAUUGCGCUCUUUGGUAUUCCGAAGAGCAUGCUUGUUUGAGUAUCAGUAAACACCUCAAAACUCUUGAUCUUUUUCAAGCGUUUUGGACUUGAGCAAACCCAACGCCUUUUCUUUUAAGAUCUGUUGCGGCGGGUUGCUUGAAAUGCAGGUGCAGCUGGACAAUCUCCUGGGCUAAAAGCAUAUUUAUUUAGUCCCGUCAAACGGAUUAUUACUUUUUGCUGCAGCUAACAUAAAGGGAGUUUUGACCAUUAUGGCUGACUGAUGCAGGAUUUCACAGAGAAAAGGCCGGCAACGGUUUUGUCUCCGUCAAACUCGAUCUCAAAUCAAGUAAGACUACCCGCUGAACUUAAG